rnacentral:rRNA from 1 species
UACGAAGGGGGCUAGCGUUGUUCGGAAUUACUGGGCGUAAAGGGCGCGUAGGCGGUGUGUCAAGUCAGGCGUGAAAGCCCCGGGCUCAACCUGGGAACUGCGUCCGAUACUGGAUGGCUUGAAUCCGGGAGAGGGAUGCAGAAUUCCAGGUGUAGCGGUGAAAUGCGUAGAUAUCUGGAGGAACACCGGUGGCGAAGGCGGGUCUCUGGGCCGAUACUGACGCUGAGGAGCGAAAGCGUGGGGAGCGAACAGG